rnacentral:snoRNA from 14 species
UCUUAAUGAUGAUAUUUAGAGUCUCACGACGUCUGAUAAAAUGUGACGCAACUACACUCUCCUGAU